rnacentral:rRNA from 1 species
GUGGGGAAUCUUGCACAAUGGGGGCAACCCUGAUGCAGCGACGCCGCGUGAGCGAUGAAGCCCUUCGGGGUGUAAAGCUCUUUCGGCAGGGACGAUAAUGACGGUACCUGAAGAAGAAGCUGCGGCUAACUACGUGCCAGCAGCCGCGGUAAUACGUAGGCAGCGAGCGUUGUUCGGAGUUACUGGGCGUAAAGAGUGCGUAGGCGGUGGCCCAAGUCUGGUGUGAAAUCUCCCGGCUUAACUGGGAGGGUGCGCCGGAAACUGGGUGACUUGAGUACCGGAGAGGCAAGCGGAAUUCCUGGUGUAGCGGUGAAAUGCGUAGAUAUCAGGAGGAACACCCGUGGUGUAGACGGCUUGCUGGACGGUCACUGACGCUGAGGCACGAAAGCGUGGGGAGCAAACAGGAUUAGAAACCCGGGUAGUCC